rnacentral:rRNA from 1 species
GAUGAACGCUGGCGGCGUGCUUAACACAUGCAAGUCGAACGGAAAGGCCCUGCUUUUGUGGGGUGCUCGAGUGGCGAACGGGUGAGUAACACGUGAGUAACCUGCCCUUGACUUUGGGAUAACUUCAGGAAACUGGGGCUAAUACCGGAUAGGAGCUCCUGCUGCAUGGUGGGGGUUGGAAAGUUUCGGCGGUUGGGGAUGGACUCGCGGCUUAUCAGCUUGUUGGUGGGGUAGUGGCUUACCAAGGCUUUGACGGGUAGCCGGCCUGAGAGGGUGACCGGCCACAUUGGGACUGAGAUACGGCCCAGACUCCUACGGGAGGCAGCAGUGGGGAAUAUUGCACAAUGGGCGGAAGCCUGAUGCAGCAACGCCGCGUGCGGGAUGACGGCCUUCGGGUUGUAAACCGCUUUCGCCUGUGACGAAGCGUGAGUGACGGUAAUGGGUAAAGAAGCACCGGCUAACUACGUG